AUAAAUGAGAAUAAAGAAUAUACUAAUAAGUCUCUGAUUACCUGCUUAUCAGACUGAUAGUGAAACUGGUGUCUGUGUCCAGAUACUUUAUGGAUAAAAAGCUGGAUAUUUGUGAUUAAUUUCAAUCUGCUGGCCUAGCUCCAGAUGUACUCUGGCAUAAUUGACCACAACUUGAUGGAUGUUUUCAUGUUUAGCUUGCCUUAAUAGCAUUUCUUCAUUUAAUAAUAAUAAUUUAUUCAUUGCUGUAGCUUCAUUGGACGUAAGGCACUUAAAUAAGUAAUAUAUUUAUUCAUUGAUUACAUGGACAGGGAUGGCCGGACUCGGAGGAGUGUGAGAGAGAGGAAACCAGUCACUACAACUCAGAGUGCUGCACACAGACGUCCUGGUCACGCAAAACAUACCUUGAAGAGGCAGACGAGUUCUGAAACUCUGCCGACAGCUGACAAUGAGCAAGAGAUGAAGACCAACCAACCACUUAUCUCAUCAACAAAUACUGUGAGCACAAAGAGGAGCAGUGUUCCUAGUUUGACAAUUUGGGUUCCUGGACUCAGCAGGUUAUGCAUCCAUGUAAGCAGUGAGAGAGUAUGACUGUGUGUGGUGCGUUAGAAGGAAUCAGGUUGACUAUCUCUGCUCUCACGGUCAGGGUGGUGGGGCCUUUCUGUGUGUAGUUUGUGUGUUUUCCCGGUGCCAUAUUGAGCUCCAAAAAACAUGCAGCUUAAGUUAAUUGGUGACAAGUAGGUUUAGCUAAUGGACUGGAAUUUGAUUUAAUGUCAUUCACAUCCCAGCAUGCUCGGGAGCUACCAGAGCUCCGUCUGGGGAUAGAGCAGGUAACCGAGCGUGAGCUGGACACGGCAAAGCGCCUGGAGGACUUUGUUAUCCAAAGCCAGGACCAGAACGCAAUGCUGCAGGCUGAGGUGACCGAGAUCCGGAAUCAACUGGCGGUCCGAGAUGAUCAGUGCCAGCUUCAAGUAAAACAGAACUGCAUUGCACAAUUCCUAACAUGAAGAGUCUAAGAUUAUUGAAGCCUAUCAUUUUGGGGUUCUUGUCUGCAUCAACGUGCCUUCUGUCACAGACUCGGUGUGAUUGAGGAGGAGAGGGAGGAAGAUGAGAGGAAUUGCAGCAGCUGAGAGAAUGAACGUAAUGUCCUUUGCGGUCCUGCUGAAGGUCCUCACCAACUCAGCGAGGCCAACAGCAGUGGCCAAAACAACACACAGCGUCCUGAAAAGCACCUCAUCAACAGCUACUGAAUUAAAAAGAUUCAAAGUUGCAAUAUAACAUUUUUGUGAAAAAGUCGCAGCACCUGAAAGUCUAUUUUAUGAACAUAUUUAGAACAGGAUAUGAAACCUACAUGAUUUGCCUGCAUUUCAGCUUUCACUGUAUCUAUAUAUAUCUAUAUCUAUAUCUCGGCUGCAGAUGUGCAAAGCUUUUCUGAUGAAUAAAGGAAAGGAAGUUUUUCUCUCAGAACAUUUUGCGUUAAUAUUCACAAAUUCAUCAAAUACCUUUAUACCGCUCAAAUGUGCAAUUCAGUCCUGCAUUAAAUAAGUCAAAAACUA